rnacentral:rRNA from 1 species
CUUGCUUCUGAUACUUAGUGGCGGACGGGUGAGUAAUGCUUAGGAAUCUGCCUAGUAGUGGGGGAUAACUUGGGGAAACCCAAGCUAAUACCGCAUACGACCUACGGGUGAAAGGGGGCUUUUAGCUCUCGCUAUUAGAUGAGCCUAAGUCGGAUUAGCUGGUUGGUGGGGUAAAGGCCUACCAAGGCGACGAUCUGUAGCUGGUCUGAGAGGAUGAUCAGCCACACUGGGACUGAGACACGGCCCAGACUCCUACGGGAGGCAGCAGUGGGGAAUAUUGGACAAUGGGCGAAAGCCUGAUCCAGCCAUGCCGCGUGUGUGAAGAAGGCCUUUUGGUUGUAAAGCACUUUAAGUGGGGAGGAAAAGCUUAUGGUUGAUACCCAUAAGCCCUGACGUUACCCACAGAAUAAGCACCGGCUAACUCUGUGCCAGCAGCCGCGGUAAUACAGAGGGUGCAAGCGUUAAUCGGAAUUACUGGGCGUAAAGCGCGCGUAGGUGGUUAUUUAAGUCAGAUGUGAAAGCCCCGGGCUUAACCUGGGAACUGCAUCUGAUACUGGAUAACUAGAGUAGGUGAGAGGGGAGUAGAAUUCCAGGUGUAGCGGUG